rfam:Desulfobulbus sp. Tol-SR contig_178, whole genome shotgun sequence.
CGUCAUUCAUGGCAACAUGUCUGAGGUCCGGGCAGGAGUCAGCAGAGGUCAUAGUAGUUCGCCACUGGCGAACGAAGGAC